GAGGGGGAGAGAGGAUAAACCCAUGAUCAAUACUACCAGUUCGUGUAUGGUCUACGACCAUGUUAUAUGGCUCGGUCAUUACUCGGCCAUAAAAAACCAUUCCUCGGCCGUAGAGGCCAUGAUACAAACGGCCAAACCGAAGAGGCCAUUACUCGGCCGAAGAGACCAUGUUAUGGUCGGCUGCAAAGACCAUCACCUAUAAACGGCUUGGCCACAACUUGGCCAUGACUUGGUUAUAUAGUGCAGGCUUGGCCGCAUAUAAGCCAUUACCUAUAAAAGGUUCGGCCAUGUAAACCAUUAU
rnacentral:lncRNA from 1 species